rnacentral:rRNA from 1 species
AUGCUCUACCAUCUCUCCUGCAAGUUUGACUCUAAAGCAGACGACCUCUCUUUCACUAUAACCAAUGUUUACGGCCCAUGCGACUCUGCUAACAAGAGUACCUUUCUAGAUUCUCUUGUUGACCUGUCUCUGUCAAUUUCCGGGCCUUGGGCCAUCCUUGGAGACAUCUUGCGGCCUUCUGAAAAAUCUACGGCCAACUUCAAUUCCCACAAGGCUCUUCUUUUCUCUAACGCGAUCCAAAACAUGCAGCUCCAGGACCUGCCACUCCUGGAUAGACUUUUCACCUGGACGAACCAA